rnacentral:misc_RNA from 1 species
AACGCACAUUGCGCCCCUUGGUAUCCCGAGGGGCAUGCCCGUUCGAGCGUCAUUAUAACCCCUCAAGCCUAGCUUGGUGUUGGGGCCUGCUGUUACCGGCAGCCCUUAAAAUCAGUGGCGGUGCUAUCUGGCUCUAAGCGUAGUAAUACUUCUCGCUACAGGGUCCCGGUGGAUGCUUGCCAUCAACCCCUAAUUUUCUAUGGUUGACCUCGGAUCGGGUAGGGAUACCCGCUGAACUUAA